rnacentral:rRNA from 1 species
AUUGAACGCUGGCGGCAUGCCUUACACAUGCAAGUCGAACGGCAGCACGGGUGCUUGCACCUGGUGGCGAGUGGCGCACGGGUGAGUAAUACAUCGGAACAUGUCCUGUAGAGGGGGAUAGCCCGGCGAAAGCCGGAUUAAUACCGCAUACGAUCUACGGAAGAAAGCGGGGGACCUUCUGGCCUCGCGCUAUAGGGUUGGCCGAUGGCUGAUUAGCUAGUUGGUGGGGUAAAGGCCUACCAAGGCGACGAUCAGUAGCUGGUCUGAGAGGACGACCAGCCACACUGGAACUGAGACACGGCCCAGACUCCUACGGGAGGCAGCAGUGGGGAAUUUUGGACAAAGGGCGAAAGCCUGAUCCAGCAAUGCCGCGUGUGUGAAGAAGGCCUUCGGGUUGUAAAGCACUUUUGUCCGGAAAGAAAUCCUUGGCCCUAAUACGGUCGGGUGUUGACGGUACCGGAAGAAUAAGCACCGGCUAACUACGUG